rnacentral:rRNA from 1 species
AGAGCGAACGCUGGCGGCGUGCUUAACACAUGCAAGUCGAACGAGGUCUGUAGCAAUACAGAUACUCGUGGCGAACGGGUGCGUAACACGUGGAUAACCUUCCUUCAGGUGGGGAAUAACCCAGUGAAAAUUGGGCUAAUACCGCAUAACAUGACGAUGCCACAUGGUGUUGUCUUCAAAGGCGCAAGUCGCCAGAAGAGGGAUCCGCGGCCGAUUAGCUAGUUGGCGAGGUAAUGGCUCACCAAGGCAAUGAUCGGUAGCCGGACUGAGAGGUUGGCCGGCCACACUGGAACUGAGACACGGUCCAGACUCCUACGGGAGGCAGCAGUGGGGAAUCUUGCACAAUGGACGAAAGUCUGAUGCAGCAACGCCGCGUGGGGAUGAAGCUUUUCGGAGUGUAAACCCCUUUCGACCCGGAAGAAGCCCGCAAGGUUGACGGUACGGGUAUAAGAAGCCCCGGCUAACUACGUGCCAGCAGCCGCGGU